AAUACUACACAAUAUAAUCAAGCACUAGCAGAAACCGCAUAUAAACAGUAGAGGGCAGCAAUGCGCCUUGGAUGCGUCUGAAACCACAGAAGAAGAAAUGAGGCUUGAUUCUAUAAGAUGCUUCUCUACAGGCUGCAGAUUUCAUAACAUGCAGCGACCUCCAGAUCCGACGUAACCUUGAACCAGAAACCCCACGAGCGAACGCUAAGAUGAUGGUGGCAAAGGAAGAAACCUUGAGCAGAAACCAGCUCGCGUGGUAGAGGGAGAGGGAAGUGGAAGAGGACGUGAUGAAGAAGAGCAGCAGAAGCAAAGAGGAGUAAAAGCUGGUGCUUGUGUGUGUCUGAGGAAUUCAGCGCAGCUCAGCAGCCGACGCUGAGGGGCUGAUAUUUCAGAGUAGAUGAAGAAAUUCUCCUUCACAUUCCUCUUCAACGUUUUUAAGAGAGCUGUUCUGGAGAAUGUCACACGAGCGCACACUCACACUUUACAGCUGGCUCAGCAUGCAACACAGGCUGCAGUAUGUAUUUAGAUGUUUUAGACAAAAAAAAAAAAAAAACGUGUACAGUCUGGAAAAGAACUUGAAAGAAAGGCCCUUUUUCUAUUCAUCGGACAAAUCUUUGUAAGAUUUCCUCUGGAGAUUUCCAUGAAUAAAUGGUCACGUGUGGGAUGAAAGAAACAUAAGAAAAACAUAUCAGUGGCUCAGACGUCAGGAUAAAGUGCUCAUGACGUAAGUGUGACGUGAGGUGAGUGUGACACAACGUGAAGAGUUCCUCAUUGUGUCUCCUUGUUGCAGGUCCACGCUUUGCACAUGUGUAUACAAACGCAGGCACAUGAUAUUUUAAAUGAAUAAAUAAAUGAAAACAAAGCUGAAACGAGAGCAGCUGGACUCGUUGGGUUUUCUUCAGCGUUUUCUCCUGCCACCAAGUGGCUUCUUCUCCGUCAGCUCUGUUUUCAAUCACUCAAUCGAUUUGGAAACGCUUUCAGGAAAACGCAUCAAGUUCUUCGGGUGACGAAGAACCUUCACAGACGCAGUGGAGCCAAAGUUACUGGACACACAACAGGAAUCUAAAUGGAUGCAUCACUGGGAGAGGGCAUCAUAUAUAUAAAUAUAUAUUUAUACAUCAAACUUUGAUUCUGAUUAACACGUGACAUACGUCUGUAUUAAGCUAAUUAAUAUAAGUCAGUCAAUAGAGGAUUUAUUGCUGUAUUGGAUCUCGUUAGCUGUAGCAAAGUGAACCUAUGAAUUUAUUAAACUGACUUCAGUUUUAGCUCUGCUGUAUUGUAGCUGAAUUAACCAGCCUACAAUGCAUUUUUGCGAUGUUCAGUGGUAGAAGCUGCGAUAAUCAACUCCUCAGGCUUUAAGCCUUUGACAGUUUCAUGCUGGACGUGCGAUGCCAGUAGCAUAUGGAACGACUUUAUCACGAGCCACAUUCAUGGCUCGUGAUCUUCAUCGUCGUUAUAAAGAGACACAUUAACGCUUCUGUUCUCUGUACAACCAGUGUAGCUGGAAUCUUGAGGUCUUUAUAUUAGUUUUCCUCCGUGCACGUCCAUCGUGGAAUCGUGUAGGUGAAGUUGCAGCUUCUGUAGCUGUAACUCAACCUCCUUAAGAGGCCACAUUCUUUCCAUUGUGUCAUUCUGCAUUAAAAAAAAAAUAAAGUGAAGCUUUUCAUUUAAAUAAAAGCAUAUUUUUUCAUUCGAAAUCUUGGAAUGAGCUAAAUAAAGUGGAGGGAUCUGCUGUAAACUCUGUUUUACGUAGACCCAUGUGACUGAUAUAUUAAGAAAUAUUAGAUAUUUAUUCUGCAUUGUCUGGUGUAGAAGUAUAAAAAUUAUUUUGGUGCGCUUUCAUGGUUUAUUGGAUUUGUUGAACUGAAAAAAAACAUUGAUUGGAAUGAUUAAAGUAAAUAGUUGGAGUCUGCAGGGACCAAAACUUCUUAUUACUCAUUUAAUUGAUUUCAUUUCAGGUUGUUAAUAUAAAUAAAGUUUUUAUUUAACCCUUUUUUAUGACACUCUCAUUAUUUCUUUUAUUUUUUUUGUUAGGUUCAGUGUGUGUGUGUAUCAUCCACAGAUUGAUUAACCUGGAAAGUGUGGCCUGAUGUCUGAUAAUCACAAUAUAAUUUAGGAUGUAAAAUAUCAAAAAUCCUGGGGAUUCAAGAUCAAGCAAAUAAAGAAGAACCCAACAGGUUACAACUCAUGUUUUUAUAAUUACAAAUGUAUGAAACAGUAAAGGUGGAUGAGCUCUGUUGUGGGCUUCAGCAGGCAGACAGACACAUUUAGAGCUGGAGGAGAACGAACCAGAGCUAAAACAGGGUAAAUAUUGGACUCACUUUUGCACAACUCCAAAUUAAUAAUAUUCUUUUACUCUGUGAUGUGGAAACAAACUGUUGACAUGUGACUUUUA